rnacentral:rRNA from 1 species
UACGUAGGGUCCAAGCGUCAAUCGGAAUGACUGGGCGUAAAGGGUGCGCAGGCGGUUAAGUAAGACAGAUGUGAAAUCCCCGGGCUUAACCUGGGAACGGCAUAUGUGACUGCUUAGCUAGAGUGUGUCAGAGGGAGGUAGAAUUCCACGUGUAGCAGUGAAAUGCGUAGAGAUGUGGAGGAAUACCGAUGGCGAAGGCAGCCUCCUGGGACGAUACUGACGCUCAUGCACGAAAGCGUGGGGAGCAAACAGG